GUGCCAGCCGCCGCGGUAAUACGGGGGGGGCAAGCGUUGUUCGGAAUUACUGGGCGUAAAGGGCUCGUAGGCGGCCAACUAAGUCGGACGUGAAAUCCCCAGGCUCAACUUGGGAACUGCGUCCGAUACUGGAUGGCUUGAAUUCGGGAGAGGGAUGCAGAAUUCCAGGUGUAGCGGUGAAAUGCGUAGAUAUCUGGAGGAAUACCGGUGGCGAAGGCGGCAUCCUGGACCGACAUUGACGCUGAGGAGCGAAAGCUAGGGGAGCAAACGGGAUUAGAAACCCGUGUAGUCC
rnacentral:rRNA from 1 species